GUCACUUUGGCAGCACACGUUACUAAAACUGGAACAAUACAGAGACAAUUACCAUGGCCUCUGUGCAAGGAUGACAUGCAAACUCAUGAAGCAGUACAGAUUUUU
rnacentral:snRNA from 1 species